UACGGGGGGGGCAAGCGUUGUUCGGAAUUACUGGGCGUAAAGGGCGCGUAGGCGGCCUUCUAAGUCAGACGUGAAAUCCCUCGGCUCAACCGAGGAACUGCGUCUGAUACUGGAAGGCUUGAAUCCGGGAGAGGGAUGUGGAAUUCCAGGUGUAGCGGUGAAAUGCGUAGAUAUCUGGAGGAACACCGGUGGCGAAGGCGACAUCCUGGACCGGUAUUGACGCUGAGUGAGCGAAAGCCAGGGGAGCAAACGGG
rnacentral:rRNA from 1 species